CCUACGGGAGGCAGCAGUGAGGAAUAUUGGUCAAUGGUCGGGAGACUGAACCAGCCAAGCCGCGUGAGGGAUGAAGGUACAGAGUAUUGUAAACCUCUUUUGUCAGGGAACAAAGUCGGGGACGUGUCCCCGGAUGAGUGUACCUGAAGAAAAAGCAUCGGCUAACUCCGUGCCAGCAGCCGCGGUAAUACGGAGGAUGCGAGCGUUAUCCGGAUUUAUUGGGUUUAAAGGGUGCGUAGGCGGUCUGUUAAGUCAGCGGUCAAAGCUCGGGGCUCAACCCCGGCCCGCCGUUGAAACUGGCAGUCUCGAGUUGGAGAGAAGUAUGCGGAAUGCGCGGUGUAGCGGUGAAAUGCAUAGAUAUCGCGCAGAACUCCGAUUGCGAAGGCAGCAUGCCGGCUCCACACUGACGCUGAGGCACGAAAGCGUGGGUAUCGAACAGGAUUAGAUACCCGAGUAGUC
rnacentral:rRNA from 1 species